UGGAUGGCGAGGCGGUGGUGGGAAUGCAUGGCUGGUGCCAAAUUCCAAAGCAGGGGGUGUGGGUCAGUAACCUGUUCCCUUUACGUGAGUGAGAAGGGGAAGGGAAGGAGGUGUCUAUCACGGAAGGCCACCACUGCGCGGGAGGGGUGUGUUCAUCCAUGGGCGGAACUGGGGUGGGGCAGCCAGGGCACGUGCCCUAGGCGCCACUGAGGGGAGGGCGCCACGCCAGUUCCUGCCACCCCCACCCCAUUGCCCACCUGCCCAGCCCCAGGGCCCCUCAGCCUUACCAUCCUGCUUGCCUUCUGCAAGGCCUAGGAUCCUCCAGGGCUGGGCCUGCAAACUGCAGAGCAGCUCUUCUCUCCCCGCCUCUCAGCUGAUUGGCGGGUGGGCGGGGCUUACAGAGAGGCCUCCGUGUAGGCCUCCCUGAAGCCUGAACUCGGCAGGCCCCAAGGAAGCCAGGAAGAAGAAGGCAGGCAGAGUUCUCUGCUGCAGCAGCCCCUCUGCCCAGAACAUCCAGCACAGCUUUUCCCAGUGCCUGGACCAAUCGGAAAGAAAUUGGGUGCAGUUGUAGGGACACAUAGGGACACCUUGCCGGCGUAGUUUGUCAUAUCAACCACCCCAAUUCAAGAUGGCGGAUGCUUAAACGUUUGAGGUGCAAGUGGCUAACUUGUGAACUGCCCCAGAAGUUUCCUGGCAGUCAAUUUCUGCUGUCUCUGAAGCCUUUUCGAGCCUUGAAUGGGACAGUGGUCUGGGAGAGUAGCUGCUUCCUCUCUUCUCUGCUUUCCUCGGCCAGGCUUUGCAGAAGGUUUAACUCCUGGGGACCUUCAGCAUCCUGCCAGAGGAGUCGUGGUCAUCCUGAUGGAAGGGCCUUCUCUUCUGUGCUGUGGCCCACUUCAUCAAGUGAAAACGGGGCACCAGAACAGGACCAUGAAAGAUUUGGGGGACAAGUGGUGUUUCCUUUGAUCUAUCUGGUGUAAGGUCAAGAUGCGAAAAGAUCAAGCAGGAUCCGGCAAGGAAACGGCAGACUUUGAAAGAAGAAGGACCAGACCGGCCAUAUACUGCUUCCCUGCCCUGAGGAAAAUCCCAUUACCCACUUCCAAACGAAAUUGGCACCAUUGAAUAGCACUAGAUCAGAAAUAAGAAGGGUCCAUAUACAAACUUUGGUAUUUCAGGAGGACCUCCCCACUUCUGCCGGCCGCCCUGGGACACUCACACACACCCCUUCUGCAGCCGGCCCCGGGACAGUCCCGCACCCCCCUUCUGCAGCCGGCCCCGGGACAGUCCCGCACCCCCCUUCUGCAGCCGGCCCCGGGACAGUCCCGCACCCCCCUUCUGCAGCCGGCCCCGGGACAGUCCCGCACCCCCCUUCUGCAGCCGGCCCCGGGACAGUCCCGCACCCCCCUUCUGCAGCCGGCCCCGGGACAGUCCCGUACCCCCCUUCUGCAGCCGGCCCCGGGACUGUCCCGUAUCCCCCUUCUGCAGCCGGCCCCGGGACUGUCCCGUACCCCCCUUC